UUAGUCAACAGUUACCAAUUUAACGCUGUCUGCCUCUCUAUACUUUCAAAUCACUUUCCGAAGCUGUCAACUAAUUGAAUGAAAUUCUUCCUCAAAGCGUGUUCCGCCAACAAGUCAAAAUUGAGCAAAAAUUUAUUCAAUAAUUUUAUUUUGAGACUUAAAUUAAAUUUUCGAAAAUUGUCUAAUAUGUGGUUUCAGCAAAGUAUUGCUAAUAAUAGAACCGACACAAAAAUGUUUCUUUUUAAAUAACAUGCCAGGGAUAUUCACCUAGUGCGGCCCUAGUAACAGAACUUACUGCCGAAGAGGUUUGAACAUGUAGUAACUUAAGCUUAAAGAAGAUUCAUAAAAUGAUCAGUUUAGAGAUAAAUAACUGCUUGUUAAACUAUUACUAGUUUUUUGUUAUUUUAUUAAAACAAUACGAUAUUUCCUUA